AGUGAACGCUGGCGGUAGGCCUAACACAUGCAAGUCGAACGGCAGCACAGUAAGAGCUUGCUCUUACGGGUGGCGAGUGGCGGACGGGUGAGGAAUACAUCGGAAUCUACUUUUUCGUGGGGGAUAACGUAGGGAAACUUACGCUAAUACCGCAUACGACCUACGGGUGAAAGCAGGGGAUCUUCGGACCUUGCGCGAUUGAAUGAGCCGAUGUCGGAUUAGCUAGUUGGCGGGGUAAAGGCCCACCAAGGCGACGAUCCGUAGCUGGUCUGAGAGGAUGAUCAGCCACACUGGAACUGAGACACGGUCCAGACUCCUACGGGAGGCAGCAGUGGGGAAUAUUGGACAAUGGGCGCAAGCAUGAUCCAGCCAUACCGCGUGGGUGAAGAAGGCCUUCGGGUUGUAAAGCCCUUUUGUUGGGAAAGAAAAGCAGCAGGUUAAUACCCAGCUGUUCUGACGGUACCCAAAGAAUAAGCACCGGCUAACUUCGUG
rnacentral:rRNA from 1 species